rnacentral:rRNA from 1 species
ACGGAGGUUGCGAGAGUUGUUCGGAAUCACUGGGCGUAAAGGGAGCGCAGGCGGUCGAGUCAGUCCGAAGUGGAAGCCCGGGGCUUAACCCCGGAAGUGCUUUGGAUACUGCUUGACUUGAGUACGUGAGAGGUGAGCGGAAUUCCAGGUGUAGCGGUGAAAUGCGUAGAUAUCUGGAGGAACACCGGUGGCGAAAGCGGCUCACUGGCGCGUUACUGACGCUGAGGCUCGAAAGCGUGGGGAGCAAACGG